rnacentral:rRNA from 1 species
UACAGGGGGUGCAAACGUUGCUCGGAAUUACUGGGCGUAAAGGGCGCGUAGGCGGCUCGCUAAGUCGGAUGUGAAAACUCUGGGCUCAACCCAGAGCCUGCAUUCGAAACUGACGAGCUAGAGUUCUGGAGGGGAAAGCGGAAUUCCUGGUGUAGCGGUGAAAUGCGUAGAUAUCAGGAGGAACACCGGUGGCGAAGGCGGCUUUCUGGAUAGAAACUGACGCUGAGGCGCGAAAGCUAGGGGAGCAAACAGG